AUUGAACGCUGGCGGCAGGCCUAACACAUGCAAGUCGAGCGGAUGAAGGGAGCUUGCUCCUGGAUUCAGCGGCGGACGGGUGAGUAAUGCCUAGGAAUCUGCCUGGUAGUGGGGGAUAACGUCCGGAAACGGGCGCUAAUACCGCAUACGUCCUGAGGGAGAAAGUGGGGGAUCUUCGGACCUCACGCUAUCAGAUGAGCCUAGGUCGGAUUAGCUAGUUGGUGGGGUAAAGGCCUACCAAGGCGACGAUCCGUAACUGGUCUGAGAGGAUGAUCAGUCACACUGGAACUGAGACACGGUCCAGACUCCUACGGGAGGCAGCAGUGGGGAAUAUGGGACAAUGGGCGAAAGCCUGAUCCAGCCAUGCCGCGUGUGUGAAGAAGGUCUGCGGAUUGUAAAGCACUUUAAGUUGGGAGGAAGGGCAGUAAGUUAAUACCUUGCUGUUUUGACGUUACCAACAGAAUAAGCACCGGCUAACUUCGU
rnacentral:rRNA from 1 species